UACAGAGGUCUCGAGCGUUGUUCGGAUUCAUUGGGCGUAAAGGGCGCGUAGGCGGCGGGGUAAGUCUGGUGUGAAAUCUCGGAGCUCAACUCCGAAAUUGCACUGGAUACUGCUCUGCUAGAGGGCUGGAGAGGAGAUCGGAAUUCACGGUGUAGCAGUGAAAUGCGUAGGAUAUCGUGAGGAAGACAGUGGCGAAGGCGGAUCUCUGGACAGCUCCCUGACGCUGAGGCGCGAAGGCUAGGGGAGCAAACGGG
rnacentral:rRNA from 1 species